GCCUCGGAACACUGGUGUUUGCAGUAGCCCUGCAGGCAGAAGGCUAGAGCUCUCUUCCACCCUAGAGUGGUUUUAAGAAACCCCCCAGGAACUCUGCAAGACCUUGUGGCUUCGCCUAGGGGCCAAAUCUGGGGGAGAUCCCCAAUUAGGGGUGGAAUUUAAUCCCCUCUUCCACGUCAACAGGAUAGGCCUCUGAGUCUAAUUUAGAUAAGUCACAGGUUCCCACUGGAUAUAUCUCUUGUCGGGGUACCAGUCAGCAACUCUAUGGAGCAGCAAGCAACUCUAUGGAAAUUCUCAAAGGGGGAAAACAAUGACAAGAAGAAGAAGAAGAAGAAGAAGAAGAAGGAGAAGGAGAAGGAGAAGGAGAAGGAGAAGGAGAAGGAGAAGGAGAAGGAGAAGGAGAAGGAGAAAAGAAAAAUCCCACAGAGAGCAGCAUUGUUCCAGAGCUGGGGUCUUGGGCCAAAAUUUAGAUGUGGCAACACAGUGGUGGACAGGGCCUUACUCAGCUGGAGCUUGUGAAUAGCUUGAUUGGCAUUCUCUGCCUGGCCUGGGCUUUCAUUCAUCUGGCAUGGCUCAGCUGGGAACCCCCUUGAAAUUUCCAUUAAGGGAUCUCUCCUGCUGUGGGUGUGAUAUUGGCCAUUUCUUAGUUUUCUGUACAGCCAGAGAGCCAAGAAUGCUACCAACUAUGGGAUUAAACUCUA